rnacentral:ribozyme from 1 species
GAAAACCCGCCAGUGUCUUCGUCCUCCGUUGUUGCGUUUGGCAUCGUCCCAAUCCUGACCUGAUUCGCCUUGUCUUCCUGCUUUGUUGUUUGUCGCGGCCUCAAAAGUUUCGAGAUUGCUGCU